GUCCCUUCCUGCUCCGCCCCGUUCCUACCCCGGCCCCGCCCCCGGUAGGCCCACGCUGGUCCCGCCCCGUCCUUGAACAGGCCCCGCCCAAGCACCUCUAGCCACGCCUCUGGCCACGCCAAGUCUGGGCGGCUCGGGAGCUCGUACCACCCGACUGCCCGAAGGCAGGAGCUGCAGAAGCAGGUUCUGUGCACCGUGCAAAACCGGAAUAGAACGGCCUCGAAGGUUCAGUUCAACAACUUGACAGGUCCACCGGCCUGGUCCAGGCUUCCAGGUGAAUAAGUGAGGCCACGGCCGUUGGAGGUCGCACCUCCCAGCCUGGUGGAGACCUCCACUUCAGUCACAUAGCCUGUGACUGAAGCCCGUUCGGAGACGGACACUCAGGGCCAGAGACACUUUUCCUGAAGUAAAUACCUUCCCAGGACAGGAAGGCUUCACCACCACAGAUGCACGGUGGUGGAGGAAAAGCCAGGGAAAGGAGGGACAGUGACAUUCAUCUCGAUGGGAGAGUUCAUGAAGAAUGCUGUCAAGCACACUGCAAAACUCAUUCUGUCCCUUAUUCUCAAGAUGCGACAGGUCACUCACUGGUCCAGAUCCCUCAGAGAAGCACAGCCUUUUACAGUAUCUACCUGGGGCUUAGAUGAUGAGCAGAUACUUGUGCUCAUGGAUCCGUUAUUUCCUUCUCUCUGAUACAAGGUCAAGCAACAAAGCCCAUGCCCGCCUUAGACAAUCCCGUGGCCUCUCUCCCUCAGCUUCCUGGGUUCUGCAGUUGCAGGUGUGAACUGUCACGCAGGCUCCAUUUACCCCUGAGGAAAGCAGAUGGAGCGGAAGGGCCUCAGAGAGACCAAGACCUUGAGGUCCCAUUCCAGAGCUUCAGGGACCGCUGGUCUCACACUGUAGCCUAGGCCCGUCUGGAAUUCGCUGUAGGGCUGCAAAGUUGCCACAAUCCGCCUGCCUGCCUUGUCUUCCUGAGCGCUGGGACUGCAGACAUGAGACAUAGACGCCUCUUGUCUGUGUAUGUUGAAUGGCUCCUUUCCCCUUCCUGCAAGGUUGUCUUUCGGUUGGGUAAAAUGAAGCAGGCCGCUGGAGAGGCCCUUUGACAA